GUGGGGAAUAUUGCGCAAUGGGGGAAACCCUGACGCAGCAAUACCGCGUGAGUGAAGAAGGUUUUCGGAUCGUAAAACUCUUUUAUUGGGGAAGAAGAAGUGACGGUACCCAAUGAAGAAGUCCCGGCUAACUACGUGCCAGCAGCCGCGGUAAUACGUAGGGGACAAGCGUUGUCCGGAAUCACUGGGCGUAAAGGGCGCGUAGGCGGUUUUAUAAGUCAGAUAGGAAAGGUACCGGCUCAACCGGUGACGUGCAUUUGAAACUGUAAGACUUGAGUACUGGAGAGGCAAGUGGAAUUCCUAGUGUAGCGGUGAAAUGCGUAGAUAUUAGGAGGAACACCGGUGGCGAAGGCGGCUUGCUGGACAGAUACUGACGCUGAGGUGCGAAAGCGUGGGGAGCGAACAGGAUUAGAAACCCGGGUAGUCC
rnacentral:rRNA from 1 species